GCACCUUUGGAAUUACGGUACUUUUGGAAUUACGGCACUUGAGACGAGAUGCGCGUUUGCAAUUACGCCCCAGCACAAUCCCUGACUUGCAAUUUUUCCAGGAAUUUGGCCGGCUGUCUCAGCAGGAUCGGCGGCUCCGCCGUGCCCGGGGUGCUGCUCACAUGUUCUCUCUUCUCCACGGCUGCGAGAGCUCCCUCACGUCCAGCCGAGGUUUUUUUUGGGAGCAGGAGGACCCAAAACCCGCCAGGUUUUCUCCUCUGAGCUCCUCUGGGACGUGCGUGGAGGGGGAUGGCAGCUGGGAAAGGAAUUCCUUUCUGUUUAUCCUCAUGGAUCAUGAGUGGUGUUUGGGAAGGAGGUUGGUCAACAAGGAAGGAAAAAUUGCACCAGCACUUGCUUGGG
rnacentral:lncRNA from 1 species